UACGAAGGGGGCUAGCGUUGCUCGGAAUCACUGGGCGUAAAGGGUGCGUAGGCGGGUCUUUAAGUCAGUGGUGAAAUCUCCAAGCUCAACUUGGAAACUGCCAUUGAUACUAUUGAUCUUGAAUUCUGUUGAGGUGGGCGGAAUAAGUCAUGUAGCGGUGAAAUGCAUAGAUAUGACUUAGAACACCAAUUGCGAAGGCAGCUCACUAAACAGAUAUUGACGCUGAGGCACGAAAGCGUGGGGAUCAAACAGG
rnacentral:rRNA from 1 species